CUAACUGUUGCUUCGGCGGGCAGGGGGUCCCCCCGGGGACGCCCUCCCGGCCCCGCCCCCCUACCAGGGGACGUGGCGCCCGCCGGAGGAUACCUAACUCUAUUUUAACGACGUUUCUUCUGAGUGGCACAAGCAAAUAAUUAAAACUUUUAACAACGGAUCUCUUGGUUCUGGCAUCGAUGAAGAACGCAGCGAAAUGCGAUAAGUAAUGUGAAUUGCAGAAUUCAGUGAAUCAUCGAAUCUUUGAACGCACAUUGCGCCCGCCAGCAUUCUGGCGGGCAUGCCUGUUCGAGCGUCAUUUCAACCCUCAAGCUCUGCUUGGUGUUGGGGCCCUACGGUUGACGUAGGCCCUCAAAGGUAGUGGCGGACCCUCCCGGAGCCUCCUUUGCGUAGUAACUAACGUCUCGCAUCGGGAUCCGGAGGGACUCUUGCCGUAAAACCCCCCAAUUUUUCAAUGGUUGACCUCGGAUCA
rnacentral:misc_RNA from 1 species